UAACAAGUUGCAUGCUUCAAACAAACAAUCAAUAAAAAGUUUUUUUUUAAUGUUUUAAUUAAGAGGUGUAGGGUUUAGAUUAGACCUCUUAAUCAGCACAAUAAACACAAUAUUAGUAGAUGCAACUCUUCAUACAAGUACACUCCCUCUGGAGUGGGACCCACUUCAAAAAUGUUCGAAUACUUAUUAUUAUCUUCAGGUUAUUUGUAUAAAGUUGCGUUUGAAAAGUGCGAAGAUUCAUAAUAUAAUUAUAUAACAUUUACUUCGUCACAUACCCAAACAGCAAAACAAAAAGAGCAACCAUUUUGCCUUUACUUCGUGUUUUCCCACAUCUGUGACCAUUUCUGGCGGCACCCACACGAUUUCGGUUUCAAUUUCGGCAAGUAUACCGACGUUUUACUCCCUUUCCCCACAUGGUUUGGCACUUUCCCACACCCAACCGACUUUAGUUUUGGGUUUCCCGCUCCCUUACAAAUUCAAAUAUGGGAUUAAGCUUAUUCGAUCAACCGGCAAGCAUUUGAUGCUGCUGUUUGGCAGCUUUCAAAAGAUAAUAGGAGUAGUUCGAAUCAAUUCAAACGCGCUUUCCAGCGAAGUUUUGAACCCGUAUGGUAAGUUUCAGUAGGUGACAACACACACUUUGGCCCUUUUCGAACUUGUUUUUAGUGCUGUCAAUUAGUUUAUAAUAGUUAUUGGGAUCUCUCUGUUUGUUGUUCCGGACUGAUUCCAAGUGUUCGAUUUGAGGUUUAAUGUUUUGGGUAAGAAUAUUAAUUCUCCACCCAACACUCUCUGGAAGAACUCUGAAUAAGGUUCCGAACUGAGUUCUACCCUUGGAACCUUGUUUAUAUUGCUUUAGAAUGUUAGGUUUCUGAAUAUUCGAAUAUGUUGUACUCUUGUGCUGAUAUGGUAAUGACUGGGAUGUUGGAAGUGUUAUUAUGUGUUCUUGUGAUUUAUGAGGAUGAUGGUUUUGUUGCGAAUAUCUUGAUAUAUGUUGAGAGAGUGUUGUUGUUAUAUGACUCAUGCAUUUUGGUGAGAUUGUAUGAGAAAGUGGUCUAAGGACUGUUUACAUAAAGGAAAGUUGGGUGAAUAUCAGCUUCCCAUUUAUAGGCUUUGUUUGUCAAGGUUUAACAAUUUAAUACAUUGGUCCUACAAGUCCUCUGGACUUCAUCGCAUAUGAUGGGGUCGGCUUCCAAAAAGGGGGGAGAAACUCACAAGCAGCUGCCAGUGGGUCUGACCAUUUUGAAGACAUGGAUGAUUUGGAACUUUCUGUAUGUUAGUAUGUUUUUUGGUAUAGAGUAAUUUAUUUCCUUGAACUUCAUAGCUUGUUUCAUUGAGCAUUAUAGCUAGGUUGGGGAAGAGGAGUACUUGAGCGCCGAAGACAACAAUUCUGAGAAUGAAGAAGUGGAAGAGGAUGUGAUGAAGAUCUUCUUAAAGGUCAAGCAGUGAAGAAUCGAAGGGUAUGUCAUAUUUUUCUAUGCUUCCAUUUCAUGCUCUACUGAAUAGGUUCAGUUUUAUGUGCAAUGGAAUACAAUUAGCGAAGUUCCAUAGUGUUCAAGAUUCACACAACAUUUCCUUUUAUGGUUUUAGGCUUUGUGGGACAAAAGUCUUGAGCUUAGAUUUUUGCUUCAAAAGGCAUUCCCCAGGUCUCUCAGUAGCUAACUAUCGUUUCUUGAAAUCUAUUCUGUCAUAAAGUGAAAAUAUUUGGUUCAAAACAGUGUACGUUUGAGUGCAGGAGCCAAUUAAGUCCUCAUUUUGUGAAUUAGACAGGGGCGUUGAGGUGGCAUAUUCAGAUUUGAUUGCAUAAUUCUUUAUUGGAACCCAAGAGAAAUGAAGAAAUGCGACUGGUAAAUGCAGUGUGAAAGAAGUGAACCUUGUGGAUGCCAG